CGUAAAGAGCUCGUAGGCGGUUUGUCGCGUCUGCCGUGAAAGUCCGGGGCUCAACUCCGGAUCUGCGGUGGGUACGGGCAGACUAGAGUGAUGUAGGGGAGACUGGAAUUCCUGGUGUAGCGGUGAAAUGCGCAGAUAUCAGGAGGAACACCGAUGGCGAAGGCAGGUCUCUGGGCAUUAACUGACGCUGAGGAGCGAAAGCAUGGGGAGCGAACAGGAUUAGAUACCCUGGUAGUCCAUGCCGUAAACGUUGGGCACUAGGUGUGGGGGACAUUCCACGUUUUCCGCGCCGUAGCUAACGCAUUAAGUGCCCCGCCUGGGGAGUACGGCCGCAAGGCUAAAACUCAAAGGAAUUGACGGGGGCCCGCACAAGCGGCGGAGCAUGCGGAUUAAUUCGAUGCAACGCGAAGAACCUUACCAAGGCUUGACAUGAACCGGAAACACCUGGAAACAGGUGCCCCGCUUGCGGUCGGUUUACAGGUGGUGCAUGGUUGUCGUCAGCUCGUGUCGUGAGAUGUUGGGUUAAGUCCCGCAACGAGCGCAACCCUCGUUCUAUGUUGCCAGCGCGUUAUGGCGGGGACUCAUAGGAAACUGCCGGGGUCAACUCGGAGGAAGGUGGGGACGACGUCAAAUCAUCAUGCCCCUUAUGUCUUGGGCUUCACGCAUGCUACAAUGGCCGGUACAAAGGGUUGCGAUACUGUGAGGUGGAGCUAAUCCCAAGAAAGCCGGUCUCAGUUCGGAUUGGGGUCUGCAACUCGACCCCAUGAAGUCGGAGUCGCUAGUAAUCGCAAAUCAACAACGCUGCGGUGAAUACGUUCCCGGGCCUUGUACACACCGCCCGUCAAGUCACGAAAGUUGGUAACACCCGAAGCCGGUGGCCUAACCCCUUGUGGGAGGGAGCUGUCGAAGGUGGGACUGGCGAUUGGGACUAAGUCGUAACAAGGUAACCGUAA
rnacentral:rRNA from 1 species